rnacentral:rRNA from 1 species
AUUGAACGCUGGCGGCAGGCUUAACACAUGCAAGUCGAACGAGGGGCGGACGGGAGAGUAAUGCUUGUGAAUCUAGCUCCUGGAGGGGGAAAACUACGGGAACCUGUAGCUAAUACCGCGUACCAUAGGAUGAGCCGCUGUGGGAUUCGGUAGGUGGUGAGGUAAAGGCUCACCAAGCCGACGAUCUCUAGCUGGUCUGAGAGGAUGAACAGCCACACGGUGACUGGGACACGGCCCAGGCUCCUGCGGGAGGCGGCAGUGGGGAAUAGUGCGCAAUGGGGUCUACCUGACGCAGCCAUGCCGCAUGAAUGAAGAGGGCCUUCGGGUUGUGGAGUUCUUUCGUUAGCGGGGCGUUAACUACAGAAGAAGCACCGGCUAACUACGUGCCAGCAGCCGCGGUAAUAC